GCUGGUGUCUGGCGUCCAAGGCUACGGUGCCCACGCGGGCUUUGUUCAGCUUGCCGGCCUUCCCGGGCUCCUGCGUGGGGCCUGGGCUCUGCCCGCCUGAGUCCCACUCAUUCUACAGAGCGGAGGCCGGCCCCGCACGCCUGGCGGCGGGGCACUCGCUGAGGGCAGCCCCAUGGGCGGAGCCCACAGGCACCUCCGGCCCCGACCCGGGUGUGAAGACCUCUCCAGGCACCCCCCCACACACACCUUUCAAAGAUGGCCUAGUACUUUAAACAAUGAAAAAGCCAAGGGACAGAAUGGGGCAACCAGCUGCGACCUUGGAAAGCAGGCCCUGGGAACCGCGCCCCUCCACUGCCUGGGCCCCUCCGGGCCCUUUAUCCAGAGCCGCUGCCGUGGCAACGUGGUAAACAGGCUUCAAGUGACCAGGAGGGCUCUUUCGGGAUUGUGUUGUUGGGGAGAAGAAUGGUCGCUGGAAUGCUUCCUUGGCUGAGAUUUCCUGAAAAGGUGAAGCUGCCUGGCUGUGGCGUCUGUGUGAGAUGCUCUCAGAAGUCAAGGGUGCAGGCAGUGGGCACUCCGGCCGCAGGAGGGAAGCGUGGUGGCCAUGAAUGAGACAAGAAGCGACACACAAGAGAACGGGAUCGUUUGCGUGGGGUCCUGGGCCACAGAGACCUCAUGGUCAGCACUGUGCCGCUGGGCGCAGCAGCAACAGUCCUGUUCUGACGAGAUCUGACUUGAGAAAAUGUCCAUCAUACGCACCUCUGCCAGAAGCCCUCCUGCAGCAGCCCAAAGCCUCAGCGUGAUCCAGGUGACCCAGGGCCUGCCUCCUUGGAGGAGACCCAUGGAAUCUUCCAGGAGGAAUCUUCCACGACACCGUAGGGUUGAGCUGAAAGCUUGAAGAGGAUGCUGUGGGAAUUGAGGAUGUGUCCCUCCCCCCCACCACCCAAGGGCUCCUCACAUCAAACCUCCUGGAGGGGAGGGACGGAGAGGAGGGUUCGGCCAGGCCCAGCUCCUGUCCGGGGAGUGCAGCCUGGCCCUCCCCACACGGAGGCUGGGAACUGCAGGCAGCCAGCGCUCACAGCCCCAAGGCCUUCCCAAUGUUUAGCAGUGUGUUUCCUCCUCCUGCGCAUCCUCAGCAUCCUCAGGGUGUUCCUGAGGAAUGUUAAUGACAGACUUUUCUGACUAGAACUCAUUUGCUAAAACACCAGGUGGGGAGAGAUCACAGGCCAUGGGACACCCUUGGGGAGACAUUCUGAUGAAGCAAAGCAGGUUUCCUUUGUUGGGGACAUCUCCUGGGGUGGGUUCCGCACCUCAGGCACUUCAGGCCACAAGCUAGUACCGCCAAACAAAUCAGGACAGAACAAAGCCAACAGGCUACACCUUGUGGAGAAGUCUGCCCUCUGUCAACUCCAACAGUCUCAGGUGAGGAAGAGGCCAUCUUGCAGUGCCAUGUAAGGGGAAGAAGUGACCGCACGCUAGCCCCUAUGGAGACGUAGGCUUUUUUAUUUCUUUUUCUAUUAUUAAGCCUUUAUUUUAAUUCCAGCCUAGUUAACAUCCAGCAUGGCAUUAGCCGCAGGCGUCUAGUGUAGUGAUGGAGCAUUUCCCACAUCCCCGGCACAUCCGCCUGCGCAGCCCCCCUCCCCUCUGUCGACAUUCGGUCUGUUGUCCACAAGCUAAGAGCCUGUUUCUUGGUUUGCCUCUCUCUCACUUUCUUACCUUUGCUCAUAGGUUUUGCUUAUGAGACUCCACACACGAGUGAAAUCGCAUGGUGCUCGUCUUUCUCCAACUGACUUACUUCGCUUAGCCUAAUACCUUCCAGCUCCAUUCCUGUCUUUGCAGAUGGCAAGGUUUCAAUCUUUUUUAUGGCUGAGUAGUAUUCCAUUGUGUUGACAGGCAGGCUCUUUAAAAUUUGCCUCAUAGAAAAAAUGAGUGAGAAAUAUCAGAAAGGGAGACAGAACAUGAGAGACUCCUAACUCUGGGAAAUGAACAAGGGGUGGUGGA